GAUUGAAAGAAAGAAAGAAAGAACCUUUCAAACGAACCAACAAAAAAACCUCAAAAGUACUAGCUCGCCUUUUCUUUUUGCUUUUUCCUUCUUUCGUCCAUUUCGUUUGUUCUUGAAAGGGCCCUGGAAGGGAAAGAGGGAAAGCAAACGAAAAGAAA
rnacentral:ribozyme from 11 species